GGCGGAUGUAGCCAAGUGGAUCAAGGCAGUGGAUUGUGACC
rnacentral:tRNA from 1 species